GAUGAACGCUGGCGGCGUGCCUAAUACAUGCAAGUCGAGCGAACAGACGAGGAGCUUGCUCCUCUGACGUUAGCGGCGGACGGGUGAGUAACACGUGGAUAACCUACCUAUAAGACUGGGAUAACUUCGGGAAACCGGAGCUCAUACCGGAUAAUAUAUUUAACCGCAUGGUUCAAUAGAGAAAGACGGUUUUGCUGUCACUUAUAGAUGGAUCCGCGCCGCAUUAGCUAGUUGGUAAGGUAACGGCUUACCAAGGCAACGAUGCGUAGCCGACCUGAGAGGGUGAUCGGCCACACUGGAACUGAGACACGGUCCAGACUCCUACGGGAGGCAGCAGUAGGGAAUCUUCCGCAAUGGGCGAAAGCCUGACGGAGCAACGCCGCGUGAGUGAUGAAGGUCUUCGGAUCGUAAAACUCUGUUAUUAGGGAAGAACAUAUGUGUAAGUAACUGUGCACAUCUUGACGGUACCUAAUCAGAAAGCCACGGCUAACUACGUG
rnacentral:rRNA from 1 species